UUCUCCGUUGAUUGUCCGAACGCAAUUCUUGUUGAAUUUCCUAGUCAAGAACUGUGUACGGACAUCAGUGGUUGA
rfam:Strongylocentrotus purpuratus Contig97625_fixed, whole genome shotgun sequence.